rnacentral:rRNA from 1 species
UACGGAGGGUGCAAGCGUUAUCCGGAUUCACUGGGUUUAAAGGGUGCGUAGGCGGGCAGGUAAGUCCGUGGUGAAAUCUCUGAGCUUAACUCAGAAACUGCCAUGGAUACUAUUUGUCUUGAAUAUUGUGGAGGUAAGCGGAAUAUGUCAUGUAGCGGUGAAAUGCUUAGAUAUGACAUAGAACACCAAUUGCGGAAGGCAGCUUACUACACAGUUAUUGACGCUGAGGCACGAAAGCGUGGGGAUCAAACAGG